GAACGGGACAACCCGGGAACUGGGGCUAAUACCCGAUAGGCGAGGGCGCCUGGAAUGGUUCUUCACCCAAAGGGCUUUGGAAGCAUGCUUUUCAAAGUCGCCUGGGGAUGGGGCCGCGUCCGAUCAGGUUGUUGGUGAGGUAACGGCUCACCAAGCCUAUAACCGGUACGGGCCGUGAGAGCGGUAGCCCGGAGAUGGGCACUGAGACAAGGGCCCAGGCCCUACGGGGCGCAGCAGUCGCGAAAACUCCGCAAUGCACGAAAGUGUGACGGGGCUACCCCGAGUGCCGUCCGCUGAGGAUGGCUUUUCCUCGGUGUAACUAGCCGGGGGAAUAAGGAGAGGGCAAGACUGGUGUCAGCCGCCGCGGUAAUACCAGCUCUCCGAGUGGUAGGGAUGAUUAUUGGGCCUAAAGCGUCCGUAGCCGGCUUAGCAAGUCUCCUGUUAAAUUCAGCGACCUAAUCGUUGAGCCGCGGGAGAUACUACUAAGCUAGGAGGCGGGAGAGGCCGACGGUACUUCCGGGGUAGGGGUGAAAUCCUAUAAUCCCGGGCGGACCACCAGUGGCGAAGGCUGUCGGCUAGAACGCGCUCGACGGUGAGGGACGAAAGCUGGGGGAGCGAACCGGAUUAGAUACCCGGGUAGUCCCAGCCGUAAACGAUGCGGGCUAGGUGUUGGGGUGGCUACGUGCCACUUCAGUGCCGCAGGGAAGCCAUUAAGCCCGCCGCCUGGGAGUACGCCG
rnacentral:rRNA from 1 species